rfam:Triticum aestivum genome assembly, contig: Triticum_aestivum_CS42_TGACv1_scaffold_578162_7BL
GUAGUACUCCUCCGUCCCAAAAUUCUUGUCUUACAUUUUAGUGUUAGAUACGGAUGUAUCUAACACUAAAAUGUAACUAGAUACAUCCGUAUUUAGACAAAUUAAGACAAGAAAUUUGGGACGGAGGGAGUACAAA